rnacentral:rRNA from 1 species
UAAGCCUGCGAAGGUGGCCUGUGAGGGUUGCUGGAGGUAUCAGAAGUGCGAAUGCUGACAUAAGUAACGAUAAAGCGGGUGAAAAGCCCGCUCGCCGGAAGACCAAGGGUUCCUGUCCAACGUUAAUCGGGGCAGGGUGAGUCGACCCCUAAGGCGAGGCCGAAAGGCGUAGUCGAUGGGAAACGGGUUAAUAUUCCCGUACUUGGUGUUACUGCGAAGGGGGGACGGAGAAGGCUAUGUUGGCCGGGCGACGGUUGUCCCGGUUUAAGCGUGUAGGUGUGUGUUCCAGGUAAAUCCGGUUCACUUUAACACUGAGGCGUGACGACGAGGCACUACGGUGCUGAAGCAACAAAUGCCCUGCUUCCAGGAAAAGCCUCUAAGCAUCAGGUAACAUCAAAUCGUACCCCAAACCGACACAGGUGGUCAGGUAGAGAAUACCAAGGCGCUUGAGAGAACUCGGGUGAAGGAACUAGGCAAAAUGGUGCCGUAACUUCGGGAGAAGGCACGCUGACACGUAGGUGAAGUGAUUUACUCAUGGAGCUGAAGUCAGUCGAAGAUACCAGCUGGCUGCAACUGUUUAUUAAAAACACAGCACUGUGCAAACACGAAAGUGGACGUAUACGGUGUGACGCCUGCCCGGUGCCGGAAGGUUAAUUGAUGGGGUCAGCGCAAGCGAAGCUCCUGAUCGAAGCCCCGGUAAACGGCGGCCGUAACUAUAACGGUCCUAAGGUAGCGAAAUUCCUUGUCGGGUAAGUUCCGACCUGCACGAAUGGCGUAAUGAUGGCCAGGCUGUCUCCACCCGAGACUCAGUGAAAUUGAACUCGCUGUGAAGAUGCAGUGUACCCGCGGCAAGACGGAAAGACCCCGUGAACCUUUACUAUAGCUUGACACUGAACAUUGAGCCUUGAUGUGUAGGAUAGGUGGGAGGCUUUGAAGUGUGGACGCCAGUCUGCAUGGAGCCGGCCUUGAAAUACCACCCUUUAAUGUUUGAUGUUCUAACGUGGACCCGUGAUCCGGGUUGCGGACAGUGUCUGGUGGGUAGUUUGACUGGGGCGGUCUCCUCCUAAAGAGUAACGGAGGAGCACGAAGGUUGGCUAAUCCUGGUCGGACAUCAGGAGGUUAGUGCAAUGGCAUAAGCCAGCUUGACUGCGAGCGUGACGGCGCGAGCAGGUGCGAAAGCAGGUCAUAGUGAUCCGGUGGUUCUGAAUGGAAGGGCCAUCGCUCAACGGAUAAAAGGUACUCCGGGGAUAACAGGCUGAUACCGCCCAAGAGUUCAUAUCGACGGCGGUGUUUGGCACCUCGAUGUCGGCUCAUCACAUCCUGGGGCUGAAGUAGGUCCCAAGGGUAUGGCUGUUCGCCAUUUAAAGUGGUACGCGAGCUGGGUUUAGAACGUCGUGAGACAGUUCGGUCCCUAUCUGCCGUGGGCGCUGGAGAACUGAGGGGGGCUGCUCCUAGUACGAGAGGACCGGAGUGGACGCAUCACUGGUGUUCGGGUUGUCAUGCCAAUGGCACUGCCCGGUAGCUAAAUGCGGAAGAGAUAAGUGCUGAAA